CUGAUUUCUUAUGAACAUCUUAAGGGACAAACAGAUUACUGUAACUUAAGGUAUCUCACUGCAGCAAAACAUAAGCUCUGAAUCUUUCCCUACUCCGGAAGGAAGAUAUAGUCUUUGUAUUAGAAGACUGUAACUGUAAAAGGGUUGGAUAGUUUAUUUAUCUGAGCCAAAACUUACACUCAAAGAGGAUCCAGGUCAAUGGAUGUCCUGACUGGUCUGCUUCAUGAAGAUCGGACUUGUAAAGAGUGAGGUCAGUCAAAAUUAGAUUGGAAUUGACUGAGAGAGAAACCUAUCAAUUCCCACUGGAAGCGGAGCUGUUAUACAGGACCUCCUCUCCUGAACUAUCCUGUGGUGAACAUCAACUCCUUCAAUACUUACAAUGCAAAAGGAAAGUGCCUGAAAUUCCUGAGAUAAACAUAAAAAAAAAAAAAAAAAAACAACAACCAUACUUUCCCUUAUCUGCUUAAACAGUCGCAUAGUCAGUGAUUUUUUUUUAUCUCUAGAGUUGAGAUACCCAUUUUCAUAUUCAAGCUUUAACUUCAAACCUGACUCUACUUCCCAGAAGGUCCUCUAGAAAUUGACAUUUUGAACAAUUCUGUUCAUAAUGUGCUUUGGAUUUGAUAAAUUUUAUUUUCCAGAUCGAGUGAUUGCUUUGGGAGAUUUAUUUCAGACAAAUAGGCUGAUUUGAGCAUGAGGUGUUGCAGAACAUUGGGGAAAUUCAAUACUAUUUUGGAAUAGAGGAAU
ensembl:lncRNA